CGCCUUGCCAGCCCGCUCAGAAACUUAAAGGAAUUGACGGGGCCCGCACAAGCGGUGGAGCAUGUGGUUUAAUUCGAUGAUACGCGAGGAACCUUACCUGGGCUCAAAUGUAUGUUGACGUAUUCUGAAAGGGAUACUUCUUCGGACAAUAUACAAGGUGCUGCAUGGUUGUCGUCAGCUCGUGCCGUGAGGUGUCGGGUUAAGUCCCAUAACGAGCGCAACCCCUAUCAUUAGUUGCCAUCAGGUCAAGCUGGGGACUCUAAUGAAACUGCCUACGCAAGUAGUGAGGAAGGUGGGGAUGACGUCAAAUCAGCACGGCCCUUACGUCCAGGGCUACACACGUGCUACAAUGGCCGGUACAACGGGCAGCGAAGGAGCGAUCCGGAGCGAAUCCUAAAAAGCCGGUCCCAGUUCGGAUUGCAGGCUGAAACUCGCCUACAUGAAGUUGGAGUUGCUAGUAAUCGCGAAUCAGAAUGUCGCGGUGAAUGCGUUCCCGGGUCUU
rnacentral:rRNA from 1 species